UGGCGGACGGGUGAGUAAUGUCUGGGAAACUGCCUGGUGGAGGGGGAUAACUACUGGAAACGGUAGCUAAUACCGCAUAACGUCGCAAGACCAAAGAGGGGGACCUUCGGGCCUCUUGCCAUCGGAUGUGCCCAGAUGGGAUUAGCUAGUAGGUGGGGUAACGGCUCACCUAGGCGACGAUCCCUAGCUGGUCUGAGAGGAUGACCAGCCACACUGGAACUGAGACACGGUCCAGACUCCUACGGGAGGCAGCAUG
rnacentral:rRNA from 1 species